rnacentral:lncRNA from 1 species
AAAGACCCGAUGGUCGGAGAAAACGGAUGUGGCGCGGCUCCAGGCUCGGACGAGGCAGCGGGUGAAGAGGGGGCGUGAGUUCUGAGGAUGACUUGGGUUAGAUCUCUUUCGAGAGAUUUUUUUUUACGUUUUUAUGUUUCGGCCUUGAAUGGCCUUGUUUGUAUUUCGGGACUGGCUGUGUGUGGCUUCGAAUCCCUGCCGCUCCGCGGCUUUCUUUUUAUGGUACGAUAAUCGGAUGGCGUUUUUUUAUGAGUUUGUGAAUAGUUGGGAGGAAGGUG